UACGUAGGGUGCAAGCGUUGUCCGGAAUUAUUGGGCGUAAAGAGCUCGUAGGCGGUUUGUCGCGUCUGCUGUGAAAACGCGAGGCUCAACCUCGCGCCUGCAGUGGGUACGGGCAGACUAGAGUGCGGUAGGGGAGAUUGGAAUUCCUGGUGUAGCGGUGGAAUGCGCAGAUAUCAGGAGGAACACCGAUGGCGAAGGCAGUUCUCUGGGCCGUAACUGACGCUGAGGAGCGAAAGCGUGGGGAGCGAACAGG
rnacentral:rRNA from 1 species